GACGAACGCUGGCGGCGUGCCUAAUACAUGCAAGUCGAGCGCGAGAGUGAGGAGCUUGCUCCUCAUAAUCGAGCGGCGGACGGGUGAGUAACACGUAGGCAACCUACCCUUGAGAUUGGGAUAACUACCGGAAACGGUAGCUAAUACCGGAUACGACUUUUCCACACAAGUGGAAUGGUUAAAAGGCGGAUUUAUCUGCCGCUCAUGGAUGGGCCUGCGGUGCAUUAGCUAGUUGGUAGGGUAGUGGCUCACCAAGGCGACGAUGCAUAGCAGACCUGAGAGGGUGAUCGGCCACGCGGGGAGUGGGACACGGCCCAGACUCCUCAGGGAGGCGGCAGUAGGGAGUCUUCCGCAAUGGACGCAAGUCUGACGGAGCAACGCCGCGUGAGUGAUGAAGGGUUUCGGCUCGUAAAACUCUGUUGUUAAGGAAGAACACUUGAGGUAGUAGCUGGCCUUGAGAUGACGGUACUUAACCAGAAAGCCACGGCUAACUACGUGCCAGCCGCCGCGGUAA
rnacentral:rRNA from 1 species